rnacentral:rRNA from 2 species
UACAGAGGGUGCAAGCGUUAAUCGGAAUUACUGGGCGUAAAGGGUGCGUAGGUGGACGCAUAAGUCGGAUGUGAAAUCCCUGGGCUUAACCUAGGAACUGCAUUCGAUACUGUGAGUCUAGAGUAUGGUAGAGGUAAGUGGAAUUUCCGGUGUAGCGGUGAAAUGCGUAGAUAUCGGAAGGAACAUCAGUGGCGAAGGCGACUUACUGGACUGAUACUGACACUGAGGCACGAAAGCGUGGGGAGCAAACAGG